AACUUUUUCGGUACUCGCGAAUGCAUUCAGAUUGAUUUAAUGAUCAUGGCUCAGAAUGAACGCUGGCGGUUGUGCUUAACACAUGCAAGUCGAGCGAGGCCUGGGGGGCAACUCCCAGAGUCGAGCGGCGGACGGGUGAGUAACACGUGGGUAACCUGCCCGGAUGUGGGGAAUACCUCGGGGAAACUCGAGCUAAUACCGCAUGACAUCUCCGGGACGAAAGUCCUGGCGAUCAGAGCGGGGUCGCAAGAUCUCGCGCAACCGGAUGGGCCCGCGCCCGAUUAGCUAGUUGGUGAGGUAACGGCUCACCAAGGCUUCGAUCGGUAACCGGCCUGAGAGGGCGAUCGGUCACACCGGAACUGAGACACGGUCCGGACUCCUACGGGAGGCAGCAGUGGGGAAUCUUGCGCAAUGGGCGAAAGCCUGACGCAGCAACGCCGCGUGGAGGAUGAAGGCCCUUGGGUUGUAAACUCCUGUCGGCUGGGAAGAAAUCGUGCGGUGCUAAUACCACCGUGCGUUGACUGUACCAGCAAAGGAAGCCCCGGCGUAACUCUAGUGCCAGCAAGCCGCGGUAAUACAAGAGGGGGCCACGCGUUAAUUCGGANAUUAUUGGGGCCGUAAAGGGGCGCGUUAAANANNGCGCCCAUCACGCNUGNACNCCCCCCGCACAANCCCCCCGNCCUCAAACGAAACGNANUUCGGGAAAAAACUUGGAGGGGCCGAAUCCGGACA
rnacentral:rRNA from 1 species